rnacentral:rRNA from 1 species
AGAGUUUGAUCCUGGCUCAGGAUGAACGCUGACAGAAUGCUUAACACAUGCAAGUCUACUUGAUCCUUCGGGUGAAGGUGGCGGACGGGUGAGUAACGCGUAAAGAACUUGCCUUACAGACUGGGACAACAUUUGGAAACGAAUGCUAAUACCGGAUAUUAUGAUUGGGUCGCAUGAUCUGGUUAUGAAAGCUAUAUGCGCUGUGAGAGAGCUUUGCGUCCCAUUAGUUAGUUGGUGAGGUAACGGCUCACCAAGACGAUGAUGGGUAGCCGGCCUGAGAGGGUGAACGGCCACAAGGGGACUGAGACACGGCCCUUACUCCUACGGGAGGCAGCAGUGGGGAAUAUUGGACAAUGGACCAAAAGUCUGAUCCAGCAAUUCUGUGUGCACGAUGAAGUUUUUCGGAAUGUAAAGUGCUUUCAGUUGGGAAGAAGUCAGUGACGGUACCAACAGAAGAAGCGACGGCUAAAUACGUGCCAGCAGCCGCGGUAAUACGUAUGUCGCAAGCGUUAUCCGGAUUUAUUGGGCGUAAAGCGCGUCUAGGCGGCUUAGUAAGUCUGAUGUGAAAAUGCGGGGCUCAACCCCGUAUUGCGUUGGAAACUGCUAAACUAGAGUACUGGAGAGGUAGGCGGAACUACAAGUGUAGAGGUGAAAUUCGUAGAUAUUUGUAGGAAUGCCGAUGGGGAAGCCAGCCUACUGGACAGAUACUGACGCUAAAGCGCGAAAGCGUGGGUAGCAAACAGGAUUAGAUACCCUGGUAGUCCACGCCGUAAACGAUGAUUACUAGGUGUUGGGGGUCGAACCUCAGCGCCCAAGCUAACGCGAUAAGUAAUCCGCCUGGGGAGU